rnacentral:rRNA from 1 species
GAUGAACGCUGGCGGCGUGCCUAACACAUGCAAGUCGAGCGAUUCUCUUCGGAGAAGAGCGGCGGACGGGUGAGUAACGCGUGGGUAACCUGCCCUGUACACACGGAUAACAUACCGAAAGGUAUGCUAAUACGAGAUAAUAUGCUUUUAUCGCAUGGUAGAAGUAUCAAAGCUUUUGCGGUACAGGAUGGACCCGCGUCUGAUUAGCUAGUUGGUAAGGUAACGGCUUACCAAGGCGACGAUCAGUAGCCGACCUGAGAGGGUGAUCGGCCACAUUGGAACUGAGACACGGUCCAAACUCCUACGGGAGGCAGCAGUGGGGAAUAUUGCACAAUGGGCGAAAGCCUGAUGCAGCAACGCCGCGUGAGCGAUGAAGGCCUUCGGGUCGUAAAGUUCUGUCCUCAAGGAAGAUAAUGACGGUACUUGAGGAGGAAGCCCCGGCUAACUACGUG